AUGGCUAGCGUGUGGGGUGUGUGUGUGUGUCGGUUAUAUUUUAUCCCCACCUCCCAACCCGGUCAGCCUUUCUUCUUCUUCUCACUUUCUCUUCCCUUGCCAGGGACCCACUUAUGCCAACCCACAGCGGAGACUUGGCUCAGUUCCUCUUUGCCUCUUUGCUGGCAGAGCAUCUGCCUUCCCCAUCCUGCUUCCCACUCCUUCCCUGCCUGUCUUUCUUCUUCUUUCAGGGAGUCCUGCAGGAGCUCCUAUAGAUUGGGGAAACUUCAUUUAGGAAGGGAGAUAAAAGGCCAGAGCCCUUGGUUCCUCUCUCUUGGGCAGGGCCAUCCAGGUUGGCCCAACAGCGGACUCAACUGCCAAGACAGUGUAACUCAUAUAAGGACUGUCUCCAAGAGUUCAUCCAGUGGUAAUUGAGCAGCAAGACUCAUCAAGUCCUUCCCUUUCACUGUGAGAGGACAGGAAGAAAUGCAGAGAGGGCUGGUGCCGUGUGGUGACAGCCCUCACCAGUUGGGACUCCCUGCUCCUCCCCUUUCAGCCACACCUCUGCACACCCCCCAACACUCAGCUGUCCCCAGUGUGCAGCUCUGGCCCCAAGCACGUGUCACCUGGAGGUGCCUCUCUGGGCAGCCUCCCCUCUCCUCUGCACCCACCGAUCUUCCCCAAAUUAAAUCUAACUCUCAAAGGGCCACAGCAGCCACAAGCCACCUGCGGCCUCGGAACCCUGGACAUGGGGCCAGUCUGAAUGAGGAUGCACUGUAAGUGUGAAAACACACAGGGCUCUGAAGAGUGAGCAUGAAAAAACCUGUAAAGUCUCACAGUGCUUUUUAUUAUACUAAUUAAUUUAUUUACUUAUUUUGAGUCGGAGUUUUGCUCUUGUUGCCCAGGCUGGAGUGCAAAGGUGUGAUCUCGGCUCACCGCAGCCUCCGCCUCCCUGGUUCAAGUGACUCUCCUGCGUCACCCUCCCGAGUAGCUAGGAUUACAGGCGUUCACCACUGUGCCCGGCUAAUUUUUGUAUUUUUAGUAGAAACGGGGUUUCACCAUGUUGGCUAGGCUGGUCUCGAACUCCUGACCUCGUGAUUUGCCCGCCUUGACCUCCCAAAGUGCGGGGAUUACAGGCGUGAGCCACCACUCUCGGCCUGUUGUUUUUGAGACAGAUCUUGCUCUGUUGGGCUGGAGUGCAAUGGUGUCAUCUCAGCUCACUGCAACCCUGCCUCCUGGGUUCAAGCGAUUCUGCUGUCUCAGCCUCCUGAGUAGCUGAGAUCACAGGUGCACACCACCUAAUUAGCCCAGCUAAUUUUUGUUUGUAGAAACAGGGUUUCAGCAUGUUGGCCAGACUGGUCUCAAACUCCUCUGCUCAAGCCAUUCCUGUGCCUCAGCCUCCCAAAUUGCUGGGAUUACAGGUGUGAGCCACCGUGCCCAGCCUUCACAAUACUUUUUAUUUGAAUUACUUAUUAAAAGAUGAAUAUUUUGGAUCUAUUAUGUUAAAUAAAAUAUAUUAAUUUAAUUUCACCUGUUUUUUUUUUUUAACUUUAAAGAAACGUGGCUCCUGGGAGAUUUUAAGUUGCUUGUGUGGUGUGCGUUCUAUUUCUACUGGACAGCGCUGCUCAGCAGGAUGCUAGACCGACGCGAGCCUGCUGGCACACACACGGCAGGCCCUAGUCACAAGAACGGCUGUUCUUUCCAGCCUUCUCCGUCACCACCUGCCUCAUUUCCUUGUCUCCUGCCCCCGCCUCCAGCAUCUCUAGUUCCCAGUGAUGUAACUCUGCUGUGAGCUUGCAUAUUUCUGUCCCUGCUCCCAGUUUAGAAGACAGCUUGGUUAUGGUCAUAUGUACCAAAGCCAGGCCAGGGAUGUGGAGGGAACUUUUUCCUGCUCAAGUGGCUUAUUGAGUAUUCACCCACCCAAACUGGGUCCCUUCCUGGGCCAAGAAGGUGAAAUUCUCUUUUUCACUCACCUAGCCCAAGCUGACCCUCCAUCAGCCAGUAGACAGGUACUGCCACCUGAGCAUGCACCGGGGCAGUAGGGGCAUCGAUUUCAUCCUUUGCCCCAAACAGCUUAGCAGCUGCCCCUUUACCGUAGAUAAGACUCCUCCUGAGAGGAGUUUUGCACAGUCCAUUUUUUUUUUUCAUUUUGUGAAAUUUACAGUGGUUGAGCUGUUGCUACGAGCUUAGCUGAGUGUUCCACACCCUGUCCCAUGGAAUCCUGACAAAGCUCAUUAGUCCUUCUGCAGGCAGAGACCUGGCAGGGUGGCGGUGGUGGCCCUCUUCCUGCUGGGCUGCCUGACCACCCAAGAGGGACCAGGUUUCCUGAGCGAGGAACCUCUGGUAUGAUUCUGCUGUCACAAAGGGGUUAUCUGUUUUCUUGAUGGACGCCAGCAU
rnacentral:lncRNA from 1 species